rnacentral:rRNA from 1 species
GUCUUUUUGAUUAUAAUUUAAAGUCUGGCCUGCCCAAUGAGUGUUUGAAUGGCCGCGGUAACUUGACCGUGCAAAGGUAGCAUAAUCAUUUGUUUUUUAAUUGGAAGCUGGUAUGAACGGUCGGACGAGAAAAUUACUGUCUCUGUUUAAUUUUAAUAGAAUUUUAUUUGUGAGUAAAAAAGCUUACAUAAUUUUAAAAGACGAGAAGACCCUAUAGAAUUUUAUAUACUUCUGGCUAAGUUAUUUUUGGUAUAAAAGGUUUUUUAGCCUUAGGUUUAUUUUGUUGGGGCGGCAGGGAAAUUGGUUUAACUUUCUUUUUGUUAAUUCAUUAAUUUAUGUGUUUUUGAUCCGUUAUUGACGAUUAUAAGAUAAAAUUACCUUAGGGAUAACAGCGUAAUUUUUCUUGGGAGUUCUUAUCUAAAGAAGAGUUUGCGACCUCGAUGUUGGAUUAAAAUUAACUUUUGGUGCAGUAGCUAAAAGGUUAGGUCUGUUCGACCUUCAAAAUUUUACAUGAUCUGAGU